AGCAUAUCAAUAAGCGGAGGAAAAGAAACCAACAGGGAUUGCCCCAGUAACGGCGAGUGAAGCGGCAAGAGCUCAAAUUUGAAAGCUGGCUCCUUCGGGGCCCGCAUUGUAAUUUGCAGAGGAUGCUUCGGGAGCGGUCCCCAUCUAAGUGCCCUGGAACGGGCUGUCAUAGAGGGUGAGAAUCCCGUAUGGGAUGGGGUGCCCGCGCCCGUGUGAAGCUCCUUCGACGAGUCGAGUUGUUUGGGAAUGCAGCUCUAAAUGGGUGGUAAAUUUCAUCUAAAGCUAAAUAUUGGCCGGAGACCGAUAGCGCACAAGUAGAGUGAUCGAAAGAUGAAAAGCACUUUGAAAAGAGAGUUAAAAAGCACGUGAAAUUGUUGAAAGGGAAGCGUUUGCGACCAGACUCGCCUACGGGGUUCAGCCUGCCUUCGGGCAGGUGUACUUCCCCGUGGGCGGGCCAGCGUCGGUUUGGGCGGCCGGUCAAAGGCCCUCGGAAUGUAACGCCUCUCGGGGCGUCUUAUAGCCGAGGGUGCCAUGCGGCCUGCCCGGACCGAGGAACGCGCUUCGGCUCGGACGCUGGCUUAAUGGUCGUAAACGACCCGUCUUGAAACACGGACCAAGGAGUCUAACAUCUAUGCGAGUGUUCGGGUGUCAAACCCGUGCGCGCAGUGAAAGCGAACGGAGGUGGGAACCCUCACGGGUGCACCAUCGACCGAUCCUGAAGUCUUCGGAUGGAUUUGAGUAAGAGCAUAGCUGUUGGGACCCGAAAGAUGGUGAACUAUGCCUGAAUAGGGCGAAGCCAGAGGAAACUCUGGUGGAGGCUCGCAGCGGUUCUGACGUGCAAAUCGAUCGUCAAAUUUGGGUAUAGGGGCGAAAGACUAAUCGAACCAUCUAGUAGCUGGUUCCUGCC
rnacentral:rRNA from 1 species